UUGACCCAACUACAGGCGCUGCACGCAAGGGUAGAAGCGCUAGAGGAACGAGAGGCAGUUCGCAGCACGCGACCUGCCGAACCUACACCCGAAGCUACCCCGCCAUCUCAGCAGAGAAGCAGCGUGCCUUCCACGGAGCUGCUUCAGGAGCCUGUCUUCACGGCUCCUGCUAGCUACCCCGUAGAUGCUAUCACGGAGUCUCAGCAUUGCCACCUUAUGACGCAGUGGAUGGAAUUGAAAGUCAAGGCAGCUGUUGGCUCUGUUGCACCUCCUGAACUUGGCGCAACUUUUCACUGCCGGCCGAUUCCAGAAGGAUAUGCUAGGGUGAUGGUGGAUGAAAUCACAGAAGGAUUUGAGGACCUCCAGCUUGACCACCCUACGGGUGAAGGGGAGACUCGGCUGGGUUCUUGUCUGAAGACUCCAUGCCUAUGGCGGAAGGAGCUCAUCAAC
rnacentral:rRNA from 1 species